rnacentral:rRNA from 1 species
CCGGGUGAGUAACACGUAUCCAACCUGCCGUCUACUCUUGGACAGCUCUGAAGGAAGAUUAAUACAAGAUGGCAUCAUGAGUCCGCAUGUUCACAUGAUUAAAGGUAUUCCGGUAGACGAUGGGGAUGCGCUCCAUUAGAUAGUAGGCGGGGUAACGGCCCACCUAGUCUUCGAUGGAUAGGGGUUCUGAGAGGAAGGUCCCCCACAUUGGAACUGAGACACGGUCCAA